AAUGGGCGAAAGCCUGACGGAGCAACACUGCGUGGUGGAUGAAGGCCUUCGGGUCGUAAACACCUUUUCUGGGGGAAGAAUUCUGACGGUACCCCAGGAAUAAGCGACGGCUAAUUACGUGCCAGCAGCCGCGGUAAUACGUAAGUCGCAAGCGUUAUCCAGAAUUAUUGGGCGUAAAGCGUCCGUAGGCGGUUUGUUAAGUCUGUGGUUAAAGCCCGGGGCUCAACCCCGGAAUCGUCAUGGAAACUAACAACUUGAGGUGUGCAGGGGCAGAUGGAAUUCCAGAAGUAGGGGAAAUCCGUAGAUCUCUGGAGGAACACCAAACGCGAAGGCAUUCUGCUGGGCACUACCUGACGCUGAGGGACGAAAGCGUGGGGAGCAAACGGGAUU
rnacentral:rRNA from 1 species